rnacentral:rRNA from 1 species
UGCCAGCCGCCGCGGUAAUACGAAGGGAACUAGCGUUGUUCGGAUUUACUGGGCGUAAAGGGCGCGCAGGCGGUCUUGUCCGUCAGGUGUGAAAGCUCGGGGCUCAACCCCGGAAGUGCACUUGAAACAGCAAGACUUGAAUACGGUAGAGGAGAGAGGAAUUCCUGGUGUAGAGGUGAAAUUCGUAGAUAUCAGGAGGAACACCGAUGGCGAAGGCAGCACUCUGGGCCGGUACUGACGCUGAGGAGCGAAAGCAUGGGGAGCAAACAGGAUUAGAUA